rnacentral:rRNA from 1 species
GACGAACGCUGGCGGCGUGCUUAACACAUGCAAGUCGCACGCAGUUCCGAACGGGUGAGUAAUACGUGGGUAACCUGCCCUCCUUUUUGGGAUAAGCCUUGGAAACGGGGUCUAAUACCGAAUACAGAGGGAUGGGCUCGCGGCCUAUCAGCUUGUUGGUGGGGGGAUGGCCAACCAAGGCGGUGACGGUUAGCCGGCCUGCGAGGGGGACGGGCAACAUGAGGGGUAAGAGACGGGCCAGAAUGCUACGGGAGGCAGCAGGGGGGGAUUUUGCACAAUGGGCGAAAGGAUGGUGCGGGGACGCCGCGGGGGGGAUGAAGGCUUUGGGGUUGUAAAUCUCUUUGGCUAUCGAAUGGGUAGGUGGAGAAGAAGGGCCGGAUAACUACGUGCCAGCAGCCGCGGUAAUUC